CAGUGCUGUGCUAAGAACUUGGGGGACUUCAAACAGUUCACUAGUUCCUGUGUCCAUGGGUGAAAAGAUUUUCUACAUCUUUCUUUGACUAGAAACAGAAGUCCUGAAACAAGGUACACCUUCUUGAGGCUUACUUGAAUAUAACGUCAUGAAGCCAGAGGCUUUGUCCUGCCUAAUGCGUUAUUUCCAGACUGAAUAAAAGCACCUGAGUCCUGGUUCUGGAGAUUGGGGCAUUGAUAUCUUCCUGGGGCCGUUAUUUGUCCUGCCACUUGGAAUAGGUGCUUAUAAGCCAUCUCUAAGAUAAUGUAUAACUUGCAAUUUGAUCCGUGAUUUACAUAAUGUGUAUGUUUUUCCUGUUUGCAAAGGCAUAUGGCAAGGGAGUAAAGCCAACCUUUUUACCACAUGGCAAAAAUAAUUGUAUUUUGCAACAGACUAAAAGCUUAAUGCUAUACAGACUUUGGGUUGGUGGAGUUACUUGAGGAUUUACUCCAGCAA
rnacentral:lncRNA from 1 species